GAUGAACGCUGGCGGCAUGCCUAACACAUGCAAGUCGGACGGGGAGCACCUUCGUGGUGUUUCCAGUGGCGGACGGGUGAGCAACGCGUAAUAACCUGCCCCUGGGCGGGGGAGAACAGCUGGAAACGUCGGCUAAUACCCCAUAUGCUGAGGAGCAAAAGUGCGGAAUCCGCCCGAGGAAGGGCUUGCGUCUGAUUAGCUAGUUGGUGGGGCAAUGGCUCACCAAGGCGACGAUCAGUACCUGGUCUGAGAGGAUGAUCAGCCACACUGGAACUGAGACACGGCCCAGACUCCUACGGGAGGCAGCAGUGGGGAAUCUUCCGCAAUGGGCGAAAGCCUGACGGAGCAAUGGCGCGUGGAGGUAGAAGGCCCACGGGUCGUAAACUACUUUUCUCGGAGAAGAAGCAAUGACGGUAUCUGAAGAAUAAGCAUCGGCUAACUCUGUGCCAGCCGCCGCGGUAACAC
rnacentral:rRNA from 1 species